CCCCAGUCUGGUCAGCGAACCUCAGGAAUCUCCUGACUUGGGGUCCUCCUCAGGGCUCCAGGGAGAGCCACGUUAUCAGCUGAGGACCCAGCGGUUCCUGUCCCACCCAGCACUGCCCCUGCCCCACAGCCUGCCCACACCGCCCACUUACAGGAUGUGCAGCCCCUCCCCGCAGCCCUGCAGCCCUUUCUCCAGGCCUGAGGACUGGCAGCCAGCCC
rnacentral:lncRNA from 1 species